GCGGCCCCAAGUCAGGCGAGACCACCCGCCGAAUUUAAGCAUAUCAAA
rnacentral:rRNA from 1 species